CAUCAUGCCAACCGUGGUCCAGGGGCUACCAGCGAGGUCAUUUCAGCUCCCAACCCAUGACAUUAUUCGUGCGUGCAUGCGCACAUACGCGAUUGACUCAAGGCGGGUUAUGUGCGGUUGAGGUGUUUUAAACAAAACUGGACACGAAAGGAAAAAAGCCAACCAUGGAAACUGCUAUCUUUCGGCCCCUCUCCAAAAUAACGUAAGCUCUGUCUAAAAGAGCUGAGAAAUCUCUUAUCCGGGUAAAACGGUAUAAAUUAAACAAGGGAUACAAAGAUGUGUCACCUGGGUAAUGUUUUGGUGUAUGGCUUUAUUACACAUUUUAAAGGUAAAUUGUGAAUGAUCAUAUCCUGUAGAAUUAUGCUGUUUUAAUUAGACAUACUUCUCUAGUGUUUAAAUUAAGGAAUUCAUGUCAAAUUUAUCGUGGUUCAAUGUUUAGCCGUAAAUCAAUUUGUUUCAUCUUUUUUUUUUCAAAACAAUACGAUUUUGAAUGUAGCGAACAGACUUAAUAAGAAAACAAACGCACCUGAUAUUAAGAAAAAAUUUAAUAUGGUAUAAAACAAUUUUUUUUUGUUAGAUAAAAUCUCAUAUAGGGACCAUUCUCGUAUUACAUUUUGUAAGUACCAUGCUACAAACAAAUUUUAACUAUAAAACACAAGGCGAUGAGUUUAUCCGAUGAAGAAUGUUUUUGAUACAAUCUGGUGUAAAGGUUUUGUUUACUGUCUAAUAUGAUGAAAUUUUGUAUGCUACAUCA